CCGCAUCUGUGCAUGCAGCAUAUCAAUAAGCGGAGGAAAAGAAACUAACAAGGAUUCCCCUAGUAACGGCGAGUGAAGCGGGAAGAGCUCAAAUUUGAAAUCUUAAAGGGUUUCCCUUUACGAAUUGUAGUUUAAAGAAGUGUUUUCUGUUGAGGUUUUGGUAAAGGUUCUUUGGAAUAGGACAUCAUAGAGGGUGAGAAUCCCGUAUUUGACCUUUACUUUCAACUUUGUGAUACACUUUCAAAGAGUCGGAUUGUUUGGGAAUGCAGUCCAAAAUGGGUGGUAAAUUUCAUCUAAAGCUAAAUACUGGCGAGAGACCGAUAGCGAACAAGUACCGUGAGGGAAAGAUGAAAAGAACUUUGAAAAGAGAGUUAAACAGUACGUGAAAUUGUCAAAAGGGUAGCGUUUGACACCAGUGUUGUUUUUCUGAAAAUCAACUAAAGAACUGUUUAUGCUAAGUUGUUUAGACUUUAUCAGCUAACUGUUUAGUUUUGAGCUUUUCUUUAAUGCACUUUUCAGUUAACAAGUCAACAUCAAUUUCUUUUGCUGUAAAAAAGCUUGAGGAAGGUGGCUUGAGAUUCGUCUUAAGUGUUUAUAGCCUCUUGCCUAUGCAGUCGGAGAGAUUGAGGUCUGCAGCGUAGAUCCUUCGGGGCUAAAUGCAUUUGUGCUAAGUUAUAGCAUUUUAUAGACAACUUGUUGACUAUGAUUUGUCUUGUAGCUUACUCGCUUAUGUUAUUUUACCUACGCUUAGGAUGUUGAGUCAUCACACAUCUCU
rnacentral:rRNA from 1 species